rnacentral:tRNA from 2 species
GGCGGGAUGGCAGAGCGGUUGAUUGCGGCGAUCUCGAAAGUCGUUGGCCGGGGAACCGGCUCCCAGGUUCGAAUCCUGGUCCCGCCGCCA